UACGUAGGGGGCAAGCGUUGUCCGGAUUUACUGGGCGUAAAGGGCGCGUAGGCGGCCGUGUAAGUCACUUGUGAAAUCCCGGGGCUCAACUCCGGGGCUGCAGGUGAGACUGCGUGGCUAGAGCACGGUAGAGGCGAGUGGAAUUCCCGGUGUAGCGGUGGAAUGCGUAGAUAUCGGGAGGAACACCAGUGGCGAAGGCGGCGAUCUGGGAAGAUACUGACGCUGAGGUGCGAAAGCGUGGGGAGCAAACAGG
rnacentral:rRNA from 1 species